rnacentral:lncRNA from 1 species
AGCAUGCAAUGCGUGUCACGUUUCAUUUCCAUGUCUCAUGCCACCUCUCACGCUAUCCCACUAUCCAUUCCCUCUUUUUGUUUCCCAUACCCGUGUUGGUGAUCAAGGACUCUGUACUUGCCCUUCUUUUUCUUUUUCCUUCUCUACCCAUCUUUUUCUUUUUUGUUAACUGUGAGGUUGAGAAAAAAAACAAACUAGUUUGCAAACUGGAGGUUGAAAAAUGUACUAUACCUUUUUGUCUAAAACUACCCCUUUCCAACAUGUCGUAUCCUCUGUUUCUUCUUCAUGAACAUGCACUAUCUAAAUAUAGCUAAUAGUAUUAUGCUGGGACAAUGUAGCUCGGCGACUCCAAUCACUCCAAAUAUCGGCUUUAUUGCUGGGGCGAUAGUUGAAGCCUUAUAAAAUUGUAUUACUUUUUUUAAUACGUAUAUCAAAAGAAUUAUAUUGACCAACAUGUAUGGAAGCUACAUUGUCAUGCUUGCCACUUGCCACACAUUACAUAAUUUUUGGCAUAAUUGUUUGUUUGGAUCCUUAGGGCAUUUUAUAAAGUCUUUUUACAUCCUUCUCUAUUGAGAGAGAGAGAGAGAGAGAUUUAUUCCAUUAGCUUCUUCAAUUAGAUACCU